rnacentral:misc_RNA from 1 species
UAGUGAUUAAAUCGAGAGCGUCUUCAUUGACCUCUCACCCUUCACAUCCACAUACACCUGUGCACCGUUUGGCUCUUAUAAAAGACGCAAGUCUGCAAUGAGAGUCAUCAAUUUUAUACAUACCCCAGUCUUAUGAAUGUAACAGUUUUAAUAAACAUAAUAAAACUUUUAACAACGGAUCUCUUGGUUCUCGCAUCGAUAAGAACGCA